UAUUAAAACUGAAGAUGAUAUGAAAUUGGGUGCUAGUGUGCCACACAAACACAACCAAACCUUAUCCUCCUCUUUUUUCUGCGUUCUGUGACUUCUGUCUCUCCUCUCCUCAAUUCUCAUCGACCUCAGUACCUCUCUAUCCAGCCACUCAGAUUGCAAAGGUCUAGGUUAGUAGGCCAUCUAGCAAUUUUGUGGGAUUCUGGAAUUGAGAAAUUGGAGAAGUCGAGCAGUGAACAAACUCAGAGUCACAGACUAUAAUUUGAGUUUAAGAAAUCAGGUUCUCUCCUUCACAUUGAUUUGCUAAUUUUGCUUGAAUUGUUUGGGGAUGUUGCUUGAAUUGAUUUGCUAAAAUUUAGAAGCAUGCCUCCUAAAAGAAAAUGUUUAUCUAGACAUGCAAAACGCUUAAAGAAUAAAAAAGAUGCAAAGUUGGUUAAUUCUUUAAGGGGAAGUCUUGAUAGGUUCAUUAGUAAAAAAUCAGAAGGUUUGGGUGGACAUUUAGUUAAUGAAGUGGCAGAAGAGCACACUGAUAGGGAAGAUAAUGUGGAAGAGCACACCGAUGGCAAUGUAGUUGUCAAUAAUUUGGGUCAUGAUGAAAAUGAGAAUGGUACAGGACAUAAUGAUAAUGUGAAUGAUGCUCCUAUGAAUAUUUUUGACCCAAGAAAUUGGGAUAGUUUGGAUAAAAAGUUGAUAGAUUUGUUGGUAGAAAAGGGUCCUCAUAGAGAUCUUUCAAUAGAAAAUGGUCCUCCAGACAAGUUCAAUAGACGUUUCAGUUCAAAAUUCUACACUCAAUUUUUAGGAAAUGGAGAGAAAUAUGAUAAAGAGUGGCUAGUGUACUCAAAGGAACUUGAUAAGAUUUUUUGUUUUUGUUGCAAGUUGUUUAAGAGGGGGCCAAUGCGAGGUCAGUUAUCGAAUGAUGGGUACAAUGAUUGGGGUCAUCUUAGUAAAAAGACUUAAAGAGCAUGAAAUGAGUACUGAUCAUCUCAUUAAUGCAAAUACUUGGACUGAUUUGCGUCUUUGAUUGCAGAAGCAUGAAACAAUUGAUAAAGCUUUUAAAGACCAGAUUAGGAAAGAGAAAGAACACUGGAGGAACGUGCUUAAAAGAAUAAUUGCAAUUGUCAAAUUUCUUGCUAAAAAUAACUUAGCUUUCCGUGGAACUAAUGAGAGGCUUUAUGAACUUGAUAAUGGACACUUCUUAGGCCUGGUUGAAAUGGUGGCAGAAUGUGAAAAAGUGAUGGAGGAGCAUUGUAGACGCAUAAAUAGUUCAGAAAUUCAUCAUCACUAUCUUGGUCAUAACAUUCAGAAUGAGUUGCUGCAAAUGAUAGCUAUUGAAAUCAAAGCUGAAAUCAUAAAAAAAAUUAAAGAUGCUGAAUAUUUCUCGGUUAUUCUUGAUUGCACACCAGAUAUUAGUCACCAAGAGCAGAUGUCAUUGAUAAUUAGAUAUGUAAAUGUUUCAAAGAGUCCAAUACAAAUUGAAGAGUUCCUUUUGGAGUUUUUAAAUGUACAUGACACUUCUGGUCAGGGACUAUUUGAAGAGCUGCAGGUUGUGGUACAAUCAUUGGAUCUUGAUAUUAACAAUGUGAGGGGACAAGGAUACAACAACGGGUCAAACAUGAAAGGCAAACACCAAGGGGUACAAAAAAAAACUGUUAAAUAUCAAUCCUAGAGCAUUAUACACCCCGUGUGGUUGUCAUUGUUUAAGAGAAACAUUACUUCAAUUGGCAGAAAUUGACAAGGAUUCCAAAAUUAAAAGUGGUGCAAAGUCAAGAGCAACUAAUGAUUUGGGAGACUUUGAGUUUUUGAUAAGCAUGGUGAUUUGAUGCAAUGUUUACUGCUAAAGAAAUUACUGCGGCAUUAGAUGUUGAUCCUAUUUUUCCAGAAAAGCGUCCAAUACAAAGAAUUUUUUUUUGAUGAAAGCAGCAGUGAGCCAUCUCCAUCAUCUUCAGGUGAGGAAUCUUUUAGAUUGCAUUAUUUCUUGUAUAUUGUAGAUCAAGCUAAGGGAUCAUUAAAUAGAAGGUUUGAACAAUAUCAACACUAUGAUGAUAUCUUUGGAUUUUUAUUCACUUCAGAAACUUUGAAUUCCUUGAAUGAUAAUGAUAUGAAAGCUGCUUGUAUUCAUCUUGAGAAUGUUUUGAGACAUGGAGAGAGUUCAGAUGUUGAUGGGGAAGAUCUGUUUAGAGAGCUAAAACUCUUAAGGGAGAUAUUACCAAAACAAAAGAUGACAGCUAGUGAUAUAUUGAAUUUCUUACAGGAAAGGAAUACUUGCCCAAUUGUUAGACUUGCAUAUCGAAUAUUGUUAACUGUACCUGUUAUUGUUGCUUCAGCUUAGAGGAGUUUUUCCAAGAUGAAGUUAUUGAAGUCUUAUUUGCGAUCAACUAUGUCACAAGAAAGGCUAAAUGGACUUGCUUUGAUUUCGAUUGAGAACGAAUAUCUUGGAAAAAUCAAUUGUGAUAAGCUAAUUGAUCAGUUUGCAGGAUAGGUCCUAUAGCUGGAGUCGAAGAAAAUUAAGAACUGCUGCAUACAUGUUGAACUUGUUUAGUCUAAGGGGGCUGCCAUGGGGUUCUAGCACGGAUGGUGAAAAAAAAGGUUGAGCUAUCUGCUGUAGAACUAGAAUCACUUCGAACAAAAGCUUGCUGAUAUAGAAGAGAGGGAAGCUCAUUUGAAAGCUCAAUUGGAAUACGUUGAUGAAAUUUUGUAAUCAGCUCGUAUCUCUGGCUAAAUGUACUUUCAAACUUAGAGGUGGAAAACACUACCAAGAGAACCUCCUCCACUUGAUGAUACUGAUGUUGAUGAUUGGCUUCCAUGCGUUGUUGUCUUGCAAGGGACCUGCAUGUUCUUCUACUUGUUAUCUACAGAAUUCUUCCCCUUUGCAUUUGUAAUAGUAGAUUUCAAAAAUCAUGUGAACUUGGAUAUUGAAGCCUCCAUUGACCAAGAGAUCAUUCGGCGAACCAAGAAAUGUUGAAAUGAAGUCUCGUGCUGAAAGUGGUAAAAUUAUGCCUAUAGGUUUAGAGCGUCGCCAUUGAAAAAUAGCAGUAGCAUUACAACAUUGACAGUAGCUUUAUACAACUAUUGUAAUAGAUUUUCACAACUAUGGUAAUGACUUUUUACAACUAUGAAAGUAGCGUUUUACAUAGUUAUAUCAUUGUUGAACCCUGUAUACUUUUUGUAUCAUUGAAUAUGCUUUAUUUUCUCAA